UUAACGAUUGUAUAGUUACUCGGACGACACUAACAUUCAGAGUCUGUGAGGUCUCUGGCGGGCACGCGCCAGCCGGGGCCGGCGGCCGGGCAGGGCCCAGCGGCCCGCCAAAGCAACGAGAGUAGUGAUAACAGUGGGUGGGAGAUCUACCCGUUAGGGCGAGAACUCUGUAAUGAUCCCUCCGCAGGUUCACCUACGGAGA
rnacentral:misc_RNA from 1 species